CACGUAGGGUGCGAGCGUUGUCCGGAAUUAUUGGGCGUAAAGAGCUCGUAGGCGGUGUGUCGCGUCGGCCGUGAAAACCUGCAGCUUAACUGUGGGCGUGCGGUCGAUACGGGCAUCACUGGAGUUCGGCAGGGGAGACUGGAAUUCCUGGUGUAGCGGUGGAAUGCGCAGAUAUCAGGAGGAACACCGGUGGCGAAGGCGGGUCUCUGGGCCGCAACUGACGCUGAGGAGCGAAAGCAUGGGGAGCGAACAGG
rnacentral:rRNA from 1 species